rnacentral:rRNA from 1 species
AGGGUUUGAUCAUGGCUCAGGAUGAACGCUGGCGGCGUGCUUAACACAUGCAAGUCGAACGAACCUUCGGGUUAGUGGCGGACGGGUGAGUAACGCGUGAGAAUCUGCCCUCAGGAGGGGGAUAACGGUUGGAAACGACCGCUAAUACCCCAUAUGCCUACUGGUGAAACGAAUUUCGCCUGAGGAUGAGCUCGCGUCUGAUUAGCUAGUUGGUGAGGUAAUGGCUCACCAAGGCUUCGAUCAGUAGCUGGUCUGAGAGGAUGAUCAGCCACACUGGGACUGAGACACGGCCCAGACUCCUACGGGAGGCAGCAGUGGGGAAUUUUCCGCAAUGGGCGAAAGCCUGACGGAGCAACGCCGCGUGAGGGACGAAGGCCUCUGGGCUGUAAACCUCUUUUCUCAAGGAAGAAGAUAUGACGGUACUUGAGGAAUAAGCCACGGCUAAUUCCGUGCCAGCAGCCGCGGUAAUACGGGAGUGGCAAGCGUUAUCCGGAAUUAUUGGGCGUAAAGCGUCCGCAGGCGGCUUUUCAAGUCUGCUGUUAAAGCGUGGAGCUUAACUCCAUCAUGGCAGUGGAAACUGAAAGGCUUGAGUAUGGUAGGGGCAGAGGGAAUUCCCGGUGUAGCGGUGAAAUGCGUAGAUAUCGGGAAGAACACCAGUGGCGAAGGCGCUCUGCUGGGCCAUUACUGACGCUCAUGGACGAAAGCCAGGGGAGCGAAAGGGAUUAGAUACCCCUGUAGUCCUGGCCGUAAACGAUGAACACUAGGUGUCGGGGGAAUCGACCCCUUCGGUGUCGUAGCUAACGCGUUAAGUGUUCCGCCUGGGGAGUACGCACGCAAGUGUGAAACUCAAAGGAAUUGACGGGGGCCCGCACAAGCGGUGGAGUAUGUGGUUUAAUUCGAUGCAACGCGAAGAACCUUACCAGGGUUUGACAUCCUGCGAACCUCUUAGAAAUUUGAGGGUGCCUUCGGGAAUGCAGUGACAGGUGGUGCAUGGCUGUCGUCAGCUCGUGUCGUGAGAUGUUGGGUUAAGUCCCGCAACGAGCGCAACCCACGUUUUUAGUUGCCAGCAUUUAGUUGGGCACUCUAGAAAGACCGCCGGUGAUAAACCGGAGGAAGGUGUGGAUGACGUCAAGUCAUCAUGCCCCUUACACCCUGGGCUACACACGUACUACAAUGCUACGGACAAAGGGCAGCAAACUCGCGAGAGCUAGCAAAUCCCAUAAACCGUGGCUCAGUUCAGAUCGUAGGCUGCAACUCGCCUACGUGAAGUAGGAAUCGCUAGUAAUCGCAGGUCAGCAUACUGCGGUGAAUACGUUCCCGGGCCUUGUACACACCGCCCGUCACACCAUGGAAGUUGGCCAUGCCCGAAGUCGUUACUCCAACCCUUGUGGAGGAGGACGCCGAAGGUGGGGCUAAUGACUGGGGUGAAGUCAUAACAAGGUAACCGUA